AGGCUUUGAUCCUGGCUCAGGAUGAACGCUAGCGGCAGGCUUAAUACAUGCAAGUCGAACGGUAACAGGCCCGGCAACGGGUGCUGACGAGUGGCGCACGGGUGCGUAACACGUAUGCAACUUACCCUUUACUGGGGCAUAACCCCUCGAAAGGGGGGCUAAUUCCCCAUGGUAUCCUUUUGCGGCAUCGUAAAAGGAUUAAAGAUUUAUCGGUAAAGGAUGGGCAUGCGCCCCAUUAGUUAGUUGGUAAGGUAACGGCUUACCAAGGCGAUGAUGGGUAGGGGUUCUGAGAGGAUUAUCCCCCACACUGGUACUGAGACACGGACCAGACUCCUACGGGAGGCAGCAGUAAGGAAUAUUGGGCAAUGGGCGCGAGCCUGACCCAGCCAUGCCGCGUGCAGGAAGACGGCCUUAUGGGUUGUAAACUGCUUUUAUAUAGGAAUAAUUAUCUUCACGAGUGGGGAUUUGCAAGUACUAUAUGAAUAAGCACCGGCUACUCC
rnacentral:rRNA from 1 species